CUUUUUGAUCUAAAGGCACCCUGUGAAGCAGAAACUCAAUGCGUAGCUCUUUGCAAAAGUGACAAGGUAUUUGCGGUUGCCUCAAAAGACAUGGAUACUUUAACUUUUGGGGCACCAAGGUUUCUCCGUCAUUUAAUGGAUUCAAGUUCCAAAAAAAUCUCUGUGAUGGAAUUUGAAGUUUCAAAGGUUCUUGAAGAGCUAAGACUCACUAUGGAUCAGUUUAUUGAUUUGUGUAUUCUCUCUGGAUGUGAUUAUUGUGAUAGCAUUAAAGGU